rnacentral:rRNA from 1 species
UACAGGGGUGCAAACGUUGCUCGGAAUCAUUGGGCGUAAAGCGCACGUAGGCGGUUCGUUAUGUCGGAUGUGAAAGCCCUUGGCUUAACCGAGGAAGUGCAUCCGAAACUGGCGAGCUAGAGUACGAAAAGAGGAUCGCGGAAUUCCCGGUGUAGAGGUGAAAUUCGUAGAUAUCGGGGAGGAACACCGGUGGCGAAGGCGGCGAUCUGGGUCGAUACUGACGCUGAGACGCGAAAGCGUGGGGAGCGAACAGG